GUAACAAGGUUUCCGUAGGUGAACCUGCGGAAGGAUCAUUAAAGAUUAUGAAUGAAUAGAUUACUGGGGGAAUCGUCUGAACAAGGCCUGCGCUUAAUUGCGCGGCCAGUUCUUGAUUCUCUGCUAUCAGUUUUCUAUUUCUCAUCCUAAACACAAUGGAGUUUUUUCUCUAUGAACUACUUCCCUGGAGAGCUCGUCUCUCCAGUGGACAUAAACACAAACAAUAUUUUGUAUUAUGAAAAACUAUUAUACUAUAAAAUUUAAUAUUCAAAACUUUCAACAACGGAUCUCUUGGUUCUCGCAUCGAUGAAGAACGCAGCGAAUUGCGAUAUGUAUUGUGAAUUGCAGAUUUUCGUGAAUCAUCAAAUCUUUGAACGCACAUUGCGCCCUCUGGUAUUCCAGGGGGCAUGCCUGUUUGAGCGUCAUUUCUCUCUCAAACCUUUGGGUUUGGUAGUGAGUGAUACUCGUCUCGGGUUAACUUGAAAGUGGCUAGCCGUUGCCAUCUGCGUGAGCAGGGCUGCGUGUCAAGUCUAUGGACUCGACUCUUGCACAUCUACGUCUUAGGUUUGCGCCAAUUCGUGGUAAGCUUGGGUCAUAGAGACUCAUAGGUGUUAUAAAGACUCGCUGGUGUUUGUCUCCUUGAGGCAUACGGCUUUAACCAAAACUCUCAAAGUUUGACCUCAAAUCAGGUAGGAGUACCCGCUGAACUUAAGCAUAUC
rnacentral:misc_RNA from 1 species